GUCACCGCUUCUCUAUUUCACGCACAAAUAAUUCCUCACAUCCCUCUCAUGGUUCCCACCCCCCUCUUUGUUUCACACACACCCACUCUAAAUUUUUCAUCGUGAAAAAUCAGAUUACAUGGCUAAAAGGAAGGAUUUUUAUGGUAUGCGAUCAAGAGGUUAAGAUGAGAUCAAAUCCCAUCUAGAUAAGGAUAGUUUUCAAAUCAAAUUUAAAAAGCUUCCAUUCUUAUCUAUAUAUGGGGCGUGGAGAACUGAUAUGGGAUGCGCACAAAAAGAUAUGUGCACUAAAAACUUCACACAAAAAAUAUUUUUUGCAUGGAGAAGGGUUGGUGUCAUGAAGAGGUG
rnacentral:lncRNA from 1 species